rnacentral:rRNA from 1 species
CUACGUGCCAGCAGCCGCGGUAAUACGUAGGGCGCGAGCGUUGUCCGGAAUUAUUGGGCGUAAAGAGCUUGUAGGCGGUUUGUCGCGUCUGCUGUGAAAGGCCGGGGCUUAACCCCGUGUAUUGCAGUGGGUACGGGCAGACUAGAGUGCAGUAGGGGAGACUGGAAUUCCUGGUGUAGCGGUGGAAUGCGCAGAUAUCAGGAGGAACACCGAUGGCGAAGGCAGGUCUCUGGGCUGUAACUGACGCUGAGAAGCGAAAGCAUGGGGAGCGAACAGGAUUAGAUACCCUGGUAGUCCAUGCCGUAAACGUUGGGCACUAGGCGUGGGGGACAUUCCACGUUUUCCGCGCCGUAGCUAACGCAUUAAGUGCCCCGCCUGGGGAGUACGGCCGCAAGGCUAAAACUCAAAGAAAUUGACGGGGGCCCGCACAAGCGGUGGAGCAUGUGGUUUAAUUCGAUGCAACGCGAAGAACCUUACCUACUCUUGAC